CUAGUUGGUAAGGUAACGGCUUACCAAGGCAACGAUGGGUAGGGGUCCUGAGAGGGAGAUCCCCCACACUGGUACUGAGACACGGACCAGACUCCUACGGGAGGCAGCAGUGAGGAAUAUUGGACAAUGGGCGCAAGCCUGAUCCAGCCAUGCCGCGUGCAGGAUGACGGCCCUAUGGGUUGUAAACUGCUUUUAUACGGGAAGAAACCCUGGCUCGUGAGCCAGACUGACGGUACCGUAAGAAUAAGGAUCGGCUAACUCCGUGCCAGCAGCCGCGGUAAUACGGAGGAUCCAAGCGUUAUCCGGAAUCAUUGGGUUUAAAGGGUCCGUAGGCGGCCCAGUAAGUCAGUGGUGAAAUCUCCCGGCUCAACCGGGAAAUUGCCAUUGAUACUGCUGGGCUUGAAUUACUAGGAAGUAACUAGAAUAUGUAGUGUAGCGGUGAAAUGCUUAGAUAUUACAUGGAAUACCGAUUGCGAAGGCAGGUUACUACUAGUGGAUUGACGCUGAUGGACGAAAGCGUGGGUAGCGAACAGGAUUAGAUACCCUGGUAGUCCACGCCGUAAACGAUGGAUACUAGCUGUUGGGAGCAAUCUCAGUGGCUAAGCGAAAGUGAUAAGUAUCCCACCUGGGGAGUACGAACGCAAGUUUGAAACUCAAAGGAAUUGACG
rnacentral:rRNA from 1 species